rnacentral:rRNA from 1 species
UACGUAGGGUGCGAGCGUUGUCCGGAAUUACUGGGCGUAAAGAGCUCGUAGGUGGUUGUCGCGUCGUCUGUGAAAUUCCGGGGCUUAACCUCGGGCGUGCAGGCGAUACGGGCAAUACUUGAGUGCUGUAGGGGAGACUGGAAUUCCUGGUGUAGCGGUGAAAUGACGCAGAUAUCAGGAGGAACACCAAUGGCGAAGGCAGGUCUCUGGGCAGUCACUGACGCUGAGGAGCGAAAGCAUGGGUAGCGAACAGGAUUA